GCCUCAAAUGAUCCUCCCGCCUCAGUCUCACAAAGUGUUGGGAUUACAGGCAUGAGCCACCGCACCCGGCCCAUUCUACCUUCAUAUGUCCUUUCCUCCUGCCCACCAACCUCCAUCUUUUCAUGAAUGAAAAUCCCACCCACCCUCUGUGCCUAUGAAACCUUCCCAGACUCCCUCAGCCCCUGGCUCCACACCUCCCAUAACUCCUGUGCAGUGCAUCACUUGUGAUUCUUUCGGUGCAGUCUCGCUCCUGCACUUCUGAGCUGCUGAAGGAGGUUCUCUGCUACCCAAAGCACACUGGCCCGUAACCAUGUUCAGCUCACUUUUGUGCCCAGAGACAUCAGCUACUUCAUAAUUACCAUGGACAAUCUUCUGCUUUUUCCACCUGAAUCACCUUGAUAUCUAGUUGCCUUUUUGGAUACCAAUAAGUAACACUCAUACCCAGCUCACUAAGUGCCUAAGAAGAAUGUCGCCCCCUCCUCCCUCAGUCAAGUAUCCUCGUUGGAGCAUGAUCUACACUUGCGCCAUCUACUCGUGCCUUGCCUAUAUCCCUCUGAAUACAAUUCUUGGUUUACUCUUGUUUAGUGAGAAGGAAGCUUGUUCACUAUCUUCAGCACACUGCUCCUUCACACUUUCAAAAAAUGUCUAAAAGCACUUAAAACUCCCUCUUUGUAGAGGCUUGAUCUGUUUUAAACAUAAGGACUGGAUGCUGGUAUGGCCACUGCUCUUGUCUCGAAUAGGAACCGCAGUGGGGGUACUGUUCCUGUCUCGAAUAGGAACCGCAGUGGGGGUACUGUUCCUGUCUCGAAUAGGAACCGUGGUGGGGGUACUGUUCCUGUCUCGAAUAGGAACCACGGUGGGGGUACUGUUCCUGUCUCGAAUAGGAACCGCGGUGGGGGUACUGUUCCUGUCUCGAAUAGGAACCGCGGUGGGGGUAAUGCAGGAAUGUGUCAAGUGGUUACUCAUCCCCCACUGCUGCCAAGCAGGACGACAUGUAAUAAGUCUCAUUUUAGCUCCGACAGGCGUGUCCCUAUAACAUAUGACAGUUCAAACACUGGCCCUUGUGUAAGAUAAAAAUCACUUGACAUUUUUUAGCAUUCUAGAAUAUUUUGGAGAGGAAUCAGGAGCAAACCAAUGCCAAGGGUAAAGAAGUCUGAAUUCAAGGGGUAGCAAAAGGUAAGGGUAGUUAUUGUCAGAUGUGGUUAAAAGGCAGGCAGGACCCCAGCUCUGCAGAAUCGUGCAGAUGAGGCAAAGGAGCAUCUCAGAGACAAAGCUGCUACUUACAAGAACUUCUGAUCUCAACCAGUCAGAACUCAAGAGUGAAUCCUUUGAGGUGACUGGAGCCAACUGAUUCCCUGAGACCCCCUACCCUUGGGACAGCUUAAAGGCUUAAGACUACAGAUGAGUAUUAUUAGAAAACGGGGCCACACCAGAACCAGCGGGAGAAUCUCUCAUUCCAUGGACUUUACGCUCCAGGAGAUACCAAGUGGCCCAGUGGGAGGGUGGGGUUUGGAAUGCCGUGGAAUCUGUUUGCAAUAUGUUGGCUCGUUUUUCUCCAGAAAUAUUCUGCCUGCCCUAGGGGGUAGCUCAGAUGUUGGCAGGACUCACCUCCUCAGCUAUCUCAGGAAAAAAAAAAAUCAAUCCUUAGUCCUUUUUCCCAUUGCAAGUCAUAAGAGAAUGUGCUUCCACCCCAGGGUAGCAUGUGCCAGCCAGGUGGUGAGGUCAUUGGAGCAGGAGUCCCAGGGAACAGGAGGAGCACGGACAGUUACAACCGACUAUAGAUCCUCAACAGCCAACAGAGAA